GAUGAACGCUGGCGGCGUGCUUAACACAUGCAAGUCGAACGGUGGAGGCGGAGCUUGCUCUGCUGGAUCAGUGGCGAACGGGUGAGUAACACGUGAGCAAUCUGCCCCUGACUCUGGGAUAAGCGCUGGAAACGGCGUCUAAUACUGGAUACGAGCUGCGAAGGCAUCUUCAGCAGCUGAAAAGAACUUCGGUCAGGGAUGAGCUCGCGGCCUAUCAGCUUGUUGGUGAGGUAACGGCUCACCAAGGCGUCGACGGGUAGCCGGCCUGAGAGGGUGACCGGCCACACUGGGACUGAGACACGGCCCAGACUCCUACGGGAGGCAGCAGUGGGGAAUAUUGCACAAUGGGCGAAAGCCUGAUGCAGCAACGCCGCGUGAGGGACGACGGCCUUCGGGUUGUAAACCUCUUUUAGCAGGGAAGAAGCGAGAGUGACGGUACCUGCAGAAAAAGCGCCGGCUAACUACGUG
rnacentral:rRNA from 1 species